rnacentral:rRNA from 1 species
AGUGAACGCUGGCGGUAGGCCUAACACAUGCAAGUCGAACGAGUGGCGGACGGGUGAGGAAUGCAUCGGAAUCUACUCUUUCGUGGGGGAUAACGUAGGGAAACUUACGCUAAUACCGCAUACGAAUGAAUGAGCCGAUGCCCGAUUAGCUAGUUGGCGGGGUAAGAGCCCACCAAGGCGACGAUCGGUAGCUGGUCUGAGAGGAUGAUCAGCCACACUGGAACUGAGACACGGUCCAGACUCCUACGGGAGGCAGCAGUGGGGAAUAUUGGACAAUGGGCGCAAGCCUGAUCCAGCCAUACCGCGUGGGUGAAGAAGGCCUUCGGGUUGUAAAGCCCUUUUGUUGGGAAAGCGGUACCCAAAGAAUAAGCACCGGCUAACUUCGUGCCAGCAGCCGCGGUAAUACGAAGGGUGCAAGCGUUACUCGGAAUUACUGGGCGUAAAGCGUGCGUAGGUGGUUGUUUAAGUCUGUCGUGAAGCCCUGGGGCUCAACCUGGGAAUUGCGAUGGAAACUGGGCGACUAGAGUGUGGCAGAGGAUAGUGGAAUUCCUGGUGUAGCAGUGAAAUGCGUAGAGAUC